rnacentral:snoRNA from 1 species
CAAUUUGAUUUGACAGACCUGGAGCAGUGCUAUCUGCUGCUAAGGUUUGCACUCCAGAUGUAAGAAAAAAGCAUCCUAGUGCUUUCUGUCUGUCUGAUUUUGUCAGCCAAGAUUGAAUGGGGGAAAUGC